AACACGUGAGUAACCUGCCUUAGACAUUGGGAUAGCCUCGGGAAACCGGGAUUAAUACCCCAUAGGUGGAUUGGUCGCAUGACUAAUUCAUUAAAGGUGGCUCUGCUACCACUCAUGGAUAGCCUCGCGGCGUAUUAGCUAGUUGGUAAGGUAAUGGCUUACCAAGGCAGUGAUACGUAGCCGACUUGAGAGGGUGAUCGGCCACACUGGGACUGAGACACGGCCCAG
rnacentral:rRNA from 1 species